AUUGAACGCUGGCGGCAUGCUUUACACAUGCAAGUCGAACGGCAGCGCGGGCUUCGGCCUGGCGGCGAGUGGCGAACGGGUGAGUAAUACAUCGGAACGUGCCCAGUAGUGGGGGGUAGCUCGGCGAAAGCCGGAUUAAUACCGCAUACGACCUGAGGGUGAAAGCGGGGGAUCUUCGGACCUCGCGCUAUUGGAGCGGCCGAUGGCAGAUUAGCUAGUUGGUGGGGUAAAGGCCUACCAAGGCGACGAUCUGUAGCUGGUCUGAGAGGACGACCAGCCACACUGGGACUGAGACACGGCCCAGACUCCUACGGGAGGCAGCAGUGGGGAAUUUUGGACAAAGGGCGAAAGCCUGAUCCAGCAAUGCCGCGUGUGUGAUGAAGGCCUUCGGGUUGUAAAGCACUUUUGGCGGGAACGAAAAGGACUGUGCCAAUACCACGGUUCGAUGACGGUACCCGCAGAAUAAGCACCGGCUAACUACGUG
rnacentral:rRNA from 1 species